GUACAAAGUUGUUUGGAUGGCCAAGUGAAUACACAGAUGAAACAAAAUUCUGACUUGAUUAGAAGGCUGCGCUACAUCCACUGCAGACGCGCCUACUCUCCUCUUGGAGUUUUUCCUAAAGAUGAAGACUUAUCCUGUGAUCAGAUUUCAACCAAGAUGUCUGACUUUGAGAAUCCAGUGAUGUUCACCUUUAAAAUGGGAGAGCUGACUAGUGACCCAAAGAAAUGAAUGAUGGCAAAGGCCCCAUUGCUGAUAUCCAGAGAAAUGAUGAGAUCUGCCCGGUAUCUGACGGGUUUUCAGAGAGUCUGCACCUUUCAAGAACAUUCUCAGGAAGGGACUUCUAGAUUCAACCUGGAUGGGGAAACAGAAGACUGGACUUUUACCCUUGGCUCUGUGGUUUCAUAGCUCUCUUAUUUGAAGUAAGUUGUGGAAGUUCUCUGACCCUCUGUUUCUUCUAUCUGUAAAAUGGAGUCAAUGGUGUCCCCCAUGCGUACAGCACAACUUAGAGAUAGCUAGUUAUUACAUCCAGAGACCCUUUUGUCUUUCCUUCUGUGGAUUCCGAAGUAAUGUGAUUGCCAAAAGCCUGACAUAUAUAAGCAGGAGGUAAAUAUAUGUGUGAGAUGCAAUGUUUAUUUAUGCAUUCUAUAUACAUAUGUAUAUUCCGAC
rnacentral:lncRNA from 1 species